AUAGAGCUGCAGGGCUGCUGCGGCGGCGGCGUGACGGCCGCCGACCUCGGGCGCGAAGUGACAGUCGUAGUAAGUGGGAUUGAUGGCCUCGCCCGCCGCCGCCGCCGCCGCAGCCGCCGCCUUGUACUUGGAGUACAGCGGGUUCACGAAGUACGAACUCAUUGGGGCGUCAGCGGCGGCGGCCCCGGGCGGGCGGGCGGCGCUAAGCAGCCAGAGAGCGAGCCUCGACUCGGCCGCACUGCCGCGGGGGCCUGUGGGGCGGCUGCUCUCGCCGCCGGGACCGCCGGGCUACGUCGCUGCUGCCGCCCGCCCGCGCUCGCGCGUCGCUUCUGAGGCCAGGCAGCCGCGGGCGCUCAGCUACUGGGCGCUCAUGCCCGGCUCUUGCGCCCGCCGCCUCGGCUUCGCGCCGCCUCCCUCGCGGGUCGCGGGGCCUCGCCCAGCCCCCGCGCGCCGCCGCCCUCCCGGCCUUUCCCGGCGCGCCCCGGCUCGGCCGCAAUAUAAUCGCCGACGCCCCAGGCGACCUGCCCCGCUGCCUCCACUGUUUCCUCUCAGGCACCAGUGACUGAGCGCACCCGGACAAGAAAAAAGUGCGCUCGGCCCACGGGGACACUCUGGCCUCGGUUUACAAACCCCGGCUCUGGAGGGAAAAGAAAAAAAACACCCUCUGCCCGCCGCCACCUCUUACCGCGCCCCCCCCGCGCCCCCCUCCCGCCAAUCUCGCCCCCGCCGCCGAGGCUGCCGACCCGGUGCGCACCGGCGAGGCAUUUUCGCACCACAGCACUGCACGGAAAGUCAGCGUGACGGGGACGAGGAGCCCCGCGGAGGGAUCCGCGCGCAGUUCAGUCGCUACGGCCGACGGACGGAGCGCCGCGCCCGGCCCGAGAUGCCUCCGCCGGCCUUAAAGGGGGCCCAUAAAGACGCACUGCCAAGGGCUCCGUGUGCCCCGGGGCCGCGGGAAUGCGGAUCGCAGCCGGCAGGGAGGGGCCGCGGCGGAGCCUUAGACUUGGGGGAGCCAAGGAGGCCACUCCCAGGAGGCUGCGGAGCAAAUGACUGCCUCCCCGAGCCCCUGGCUGCAAAAGCAGAGGUUGCCCGUGGCUUUUGCAGCUCUGGACACGCGGGUGCAGCCCAGGGAACGUGGACAAGAGGUGUUGACGGACCGGACCGUGCAUUUGAGUUGGGGCAUAUCGAAGUGGUUUAAUUAAAAGCCGCGAGUGUGGCCCCAGAUCCUGGCGUUAUCAAAGCAAAUCAAAGCCUUUCUUUUCCAGCCGAGCGGGCCCUGUGGAAAUGAGAUGUACAUUUACCCUUGACGCACCGCAAGCCUGGCCGAGGCUCUCAGGUUAAUUGAUAUUUAAUGGAAAUCAUGCCCAUGAAUAUAGUUUCCAUCAUUUCACCCUUGAUAGACGUCAGCCCUGGGCGCAGGGGGAGGCUGAAGAAUGCAGGAGGGGGCAUUAGGCUUGCUGAGAGAGUAAAUAGAAGAGCGGACAGAAACGUUCUGAGGCGGGAAAAAGGGCUCGCGCUGGGGAGGGUGACAUUUCCUCGGGCAGGACGCGGCUCCCGGGUCUCAGCCCCGGCGCGCAGCGAACCAGGGCCGGCUGCGGUUCCCGGAGGAGUGCGGAGGGCAGACGACCGCAAGUUCCCCCCAGGAGCCUCCCAGCCGGCGUUCAGAUCGCGCCGGUUCCAGGCAGCUGCAGGCGGCCCAUCUUAUGCUAACGAUCCUACUUCCUCCGCCAAGCCUGUGAAAUUACUGCCGAGAGAGCGCGCAGGCCUCAAAGUUACGAAUUUUUCCCAAAGCAGAGAAAGAGAAGGCUCAGCCUAGUUUGUGAGCAGAGAUGAAGAAAAGUUGCCCGAGUCAUGUGGCCCAGUCGAGUGUGAAUCGACAAAAUAUUCCCGAUUUUAGCAGCUCUCUCCAAAGCUGUCUGGCUUUACCCUACCAACCGCCUCCCCACACACUUCCUUUCCCUCUCUGCUCCCGUUUCAAUGUCCAAUAAAUGCAAUGGUUCUCUGUUGUGUGUGUGUGUUUUCCCCUCUCCUGCUCGGCCUUUCUCGUGGGCUCUUUGGGUGACUGAGCCCCGUUUCCUUCGGGAUAGGUACAAUGUCGUGAGGGCGCCAGGCCCACAGCCUUGGAAAUAGACCUCCAAGGCGCCCCUGCUCAAGCUAAACGCACCACGCCGGCUUUCCACACCAAAUGCAAAUUUCCGAAAACCCCAGACGGCCUCAGAGAUGCUGCAGGCUGGCGAGCGAUUUCAGCUACCCCUAGCUCCUUGUGGGUUGGCCCAGCCUGCGAGCGCGAUCCUGACUUGUGUCCGGGUGGACUGAAAUAUCAUUUUUACAAAUGGAGAAAAUGAGAUCGAGAUGGACAGACAUAGCAAGGUGAUAAUGUCCGACUCAAUUAUUUCUACUGGGAAUGACUGAAAGGUAAAGGAAUCGUUAAUGAAUCUGGAGAUGACAGAGGCAUGCUUUAUUUAAUUUUUAAAUUAGUAAGGAGUGCAGACUUGGGGUGGUGGAGAGCAAGGGUUUUUUUGUUGUUGUUGCUGUUUGUUUUUGUGGGGUUUUUUUUCUGCUGGUUAUUGCCAAGUAUAAUGACUUUCUUUAAAUCCGAAGGCGAACGAAUUGAUUCUGACAAUUAAGGAUUUGUCCUUCAAUCUUGCAAAUGCCCAAUUAAAAGAUUAUUAUUGUCAAUAAAGCCUUGGAGCUACCUUUGUAA